GCUUUUGGUUCAGUGGUAGAAUGCUCGCCUGCCACGCGGGUUCGAUUCCCGGCCGAUAGAUUUUUUUUUUACAAUUUUUAAAACUCAUUUAUAUAUUAUAGUGGCGGGCGCCCCGGGUUCGAUACCCGGCCGAUGCA
rnacentral:tRNA from 1 species